UACGAAGGGUGCAAACGUUGCUCGGAAUUAUUGGGCGUAAAGCGCACGUAGGCGGCUCUGCAAGUCGGAUGUGAAAUCCCUCAGCUCAACCAAGGAAGUGCAUCCGAAACUGCGGAGCUUGAGUACUUAAGAGGAUCGCGGAAUUCCCGGUGUAGAGGUGAAAUUCGUAGAUAUCGGGAGGAACACCAGUGGCGAAGGCGGCGAUCUGGGAAGAUACUGACGCUGAGGUGCGAAAGCGUGGGGAGCAAACAGG
rnacentral:rRNA from 1 species